rnacentral:tRNA from 1 species
GGAGAGAUGGCUCAGUGGUUAAGAGCACUGGCUGCUCUUGCAGAGGACCUGGGUUCAAUUCCCAGCACCUGCA